rnacentral:tRNA from 1 species
GGCUCGGUAGAUUAGUUGGAAAAGCACUUGUCUAGCGUAUAAGGGUUGUGAGUUCAAAUCUUAUCCGAGCUG